rnacentral:rRNA from 1 species
GGCUCAUGAUGAACGCUAGCGGCAGGCCUAAUACAUGCAAGUCGAACGGGUGGUAGCAAUACCACUAGUGGCGCACGGGUGCGUAACGCGUAACCAACCUGCCCUUGACUGGGGGAUAGCCCGCCGAAAGGCGGAUUAAUACCGCAUAAACCAACAGCCUGGCAUCAGGCAAUUGGUAAAGAUUUAUUGGUCAAGGAUGGGGUUGCGUGACAUUAGCUUGUUGGCGGGGUAACGGCCCACCAAGGCGACGAUGUCUAGGGGACCUGAGAGGGUGAUCCCCCACACUGGCACUGAGAUACGGGCCAGACUCCUACGGGAGGCAGCAGUAGGGAAUAUUGGGCAAUGGGCGAGAGCCUGACCCAGCCAUGCCGCGUGCCGGAUGAAGGCCUUCUGGGUUGUAAACGGCUUUUCUCAGGGAAGAAAAAGACCAUGCGUGGUACACUGACGGUACCUGAGGAAUAAGCACCGGCUAACUCCGUGCCAGCAGCCGCGGUAAUACGGAGGGUGCAAGCGUUGUCCGGAUUUAUUGGGUUUAAAGGGUGCGUAGGUGGCCUUGUAAGUCCGUGGUGAAAGCCUCUCGCUUAACGAGAGAACUGCCAUGGAUACUGCAAGGCUUGAGUCCAGACGAGGUUGGCGGAAUGGAUGGUGUAGCGGUGAAAUGCAUAGAUACCAUCCAGAACCCCGAUUGCGUAGGCAGCUGACUAGGCUGGUACUGACACUGAGGCACGAAAGCGUGGGGAGCGAACAGGAUUAGAUACCCUGGUAGUCCACGCCGUAAACGAUGGAUACUCGUUGCUAGCGAUAUACAGUUAGUGACUUAGCGAAAGCGUUAAGUAUCCCACCUGGGGAGUACGCCCGCAAGGGUGAAACUCAAAGGAAUUGACGGGGGCCCGCACAAGUGGUGGAGCAUGUGGUUUAAUUCGAUGAUACGCGAGGAACCUUACCUAGGCUAGAAUGCGCGUGACCGGUUCAGAGAUGAACCUUUCCUUCGGGACACAAAGCAAGGUGCUGCAUGGCCGUCGUCAGCUCGUGCCGUGAGGUGUUGGGUUAAGUCCCGCAACGAGCGCAACCCCUACAUUUAGUUGCCAGCGGAUUAUGCCGGGGACUCUAGAUGGACUGCCUGCGCAAGCAGUGAGGAAGGCGGGGACGACGUCAGGUCAUCAUGGCCCUUACGCCUAGGGCUACACACGUGCUACAAUGGACGGUACAGAGGGUCGCUACACAGUGAUGUGACGCCAAUCUCAAAAAACCGUUCUCAGUUCGGAUCGAAGUCUGCAACUCGACUUCGUGAAGCUGGAAUCACUAGUAAUCGCGUAUCAGCAAUGACGCGGUGAAUACGUUCCCGGGCCUUGUACACACCGCCCGUCAAGCCAUGGAAGUCUGGUAGACCUGAAGCUGGUGCUCGUAAUAGAAGCCAGUUAGGGUAGAACAGGUAACUGGGGCUAAGUCGUAACAAG